GGGGCAGGUAUGAUGGAAGAGGAGAGGUGCUGCUGGAAGGAGGAAGAUUGAAAUGGAAGAAGAUGGAAAGCAAAGAGUUUGUCUGGGUCCAGAUCACAUCAACAAUCAACGCUGCACUUAAGAAGCACAAAGUCUUGUAGCAGACAACGUGAAGGAGGCCCAUGGCAUACAGCUGAUGGACCAUGGUGUACUGCACUUUGCCCAUGCUAUACCUACACAAAUUGCAAGAAGAAGAUCAGGGUCAAGUAGGUUCCCUCUUGACAGAUGACACAGAAGCAUCUGAAGGUGUCUUGUGCUCCCCAAAGCUGAAACUCUCCUGAACUUGUAGGAGGAGGCUUCCUGAGAGUGUUGUGCUGCAACUGCUUUUGGUGGCAUGUUUGAGAGUGGAUGCUUCAUUGGUUAGUCCCUGAACUAUGGCCUAAUAUGUGUGAAUGCUGACAAUGAUUUACAGGCCUGAAGUGGUUUGUAUGCCCACACACAAACAUGCUCACAGGGGCCAAAAUGCCCUUGUGUGCUGGCACCUGUGCAUUCCCCUCCAUCCCCUGGGGUGCCCUCAUUCAUGGGACAAGCUUUGUCCCUCUGGUCUACCGCCAUCAGCUGUGCAAGGUGAGAGGAAAGAGCAGAUUGAUUUCCUCUUCCACACUGAGGUUUAGCAACAGGUGAAACAGGGGAAAGGAGAGCUGGGGAGGUGGGUGCUGGGGAAUCAGCUACAGGAGGAGCCUGAGGUGAACUCUGAACAUCACCAGCAGCUCUCAUGUCAUACUGCUUUCUGAACCUGUGUGGAACUAAUGUGAAAUUCAUGAUUGCCAUGCUGACCACAGUGCUGUCCAUGUUUGCCCAAUGACCUGAGAUCUGAGCUAGGAGGACACUGUGACAAUAUCUGUGCCACCAGAGAUAAGUUGAAUCAUGCUUCACUUUGUUCUGCAUCAUUUUCUUGGCCGUGAGCUCUGCUACCAGCAAUCUCCUAGCUAGGUACAAGUGAGCUGCCUUGAGUUGCUGCCAGCUUUGCCUUUGGUCACAGACCUGACAGCCCCAGAGCUCAUGUAGAGAACUGAGGACGUGAUAACAUAAAACCAUUUGCUACAGGAACAUUCAGAAGGGGAACCACCGAAAACCAAUGUCAAUA